rnacentral:rRNA from 1 species
AGUGAACGCUGGCGGUAGGCCUAACACAUGCAAGUCGAACGGCAGCACAGUAAGAGCUUGCUCUUACGGGUGGCGAGUGGCGGACGGGUGAGGAAUACAUCGGAAUCUACUUUUUCGUGGGGGGUAACGUAGGGAAACUUACGCUAAUACCGCAUACGACCUACGGGUGAAAGCAGGGGAUCUUCGGACCUUGCGCGAUUGAAUGAGCCGAUGUCGGAUUAGCUAGUUGGCGGGGUAAAGGCCCACCAAGGCGACGAUCCGUAGCUGGUCUGAGAGGAUGAUCAGCCACACUGGGACUGAGACACGGCCCAGACUCCUACGGGAGGCAGCAGUGGGGAAUAUUGGACAAUGGGCGAAAGCCUGAUCCAGCAAUGCCGCGUGAGUGAUGAAGGCCUUAGGGUUGUAAAGCUCUUUUACCCGAGAUGAUAAUGACAGUAUCGGGAGAAUAAGCUCCGGCUAACUCCGUG